AUUGAACGCUGGCGGCAUGCUUUACACAUGCAAGUCGAACGGCAGCACGGGAGCUUGCUCCUGGUGGCGAGUGGCGAACGGGUGAGUAAUGCAUCGGAACGUACCCAGUAGUGGGGGAUAGCCCGGCGAAAGCCGGAUUAAUACCGCAUAUUUCCUGAGGGAGAAAGCGGGGGACCUUCGGGCCUCGCGCUACUGGAGCGGCUGAUGUCGGAUUAGCUAGUUGGUGAGGUAAAGGCUCACCAAGGCGACGAUCCGUAGCUGGUCUGAGAGGAUGAUCAGCCACACUGGGACUGAGACACGGCCCAGACUCCUACGGGAGGCAGCAGUGGGGAAUUUUGGACAAUGGGGGCAACCCUGAUCCAGCCAUGCCGCGUGAGUGAAGAAGGCCUCGGUUGUAA
rnacentral:rRNA from 1 species